rnacentral:lncRNA from 1 species
ACUCAUGCUUUCCUUGGGUCGACCCAACUCACUGUUCAUCUUGGCCAUUUUUGCAAAAGUGUGCCAAAUGUUUUCUUGAUGUGCCGGGGUCGACCCAAUCAUUCUUUGGGUCGACUCAAUCCACACUUUGCUGCAUCUCAAGGUUAGAUUCAUUCAAAUGAACAAUGAAAUGUAUCUACAUCAAUUCAUACAAAUAUACUGAGAGUAAUGGACUUAUAAAUGAAGUAUCGAUUUAACUUAUAACAUACUCUAGAUAAUUGCUUGUUAAUCAUCAAAAUAACAAUAUCAUCCUCAAUCUCCCCCUUUUUGAUGAUUACAAAAUAAAGAGUAUGAGCCUAUUGAUACUUGUCUUUAAAAUCAGUUUUUGAAAGGGCUUAACUUGCUGAAUUUCAGCUUUUCAUAUAUAAGAGUGAAGUCUCCCCCUAUAUUAUUUAAAUGUUGCCAAUUUAACUUUUUGAAUUACUCCCCCUUUCAUUUAUAAUUCAUUAAAGAUGAAACUCCAAAAAUUUGAGAUAAAACAUGAGUUUCAGGUUAUGUAUCGAGGUGUGAAAGGUGCGUGCCAAAUUCUGAAAUUAUAUGUGCCAAGUUCUGAAAUUUGAUAGAAGUUUUGGAUUUGAAGAUUUUCAUUGUUGCAAAUUGCUCCCCCUUAGAUGUAUAUGCUUUCUUAUAUGAUUUUCAAUUUGUUUCACAAGUUAUUUCUCUCUUCUUACACAAGUUCAUAACUUCUUAUUUCA